rnacentral:lncRNA from 1 species
AUGGUGAACGCACCACUCCCUCCCCCGGAGGAGGGCCGGGUGGAGAAUCUUUUGUUUCAUUUUUUCCAGCCGUUGGCCUCGCGGCCGACGGUACCCAAAUACUCGAUAAAAGAGCAAUUUCCCUUAUCUCUGGGUCACAGGGGGGCACGGAGAGUUGCGGACGGCCAAGCACCGGACCUCACUCAUCCUCCUCCUUCGCCAGAUGGCAGCAGCGGGCGGUUCGAGAGCGUCAGCAAAGGCCCUACUCACGCACCCUCUGCCAACCCGUGGAACCAGGUGAGCCCUGCACCCCACACCACACUCCGGCCUGCUCACAAGCCACCCGAGCUGGGUCCCUGUGUUCCACCUCGCUGCCCCACUGCGGGUACGGCUGUGGUCCCGCUGGUCCCGCUUGUACGGUUCUUAAGCGCCUGGUCAGCGCUGCCCAGCCCGUCUCGCUGGCUUCUGCGGACCAUCAGCCUCGGCUAUGCGAUUCAGUUCGCCCGGCGUCCCCCCAAGUUCUGCGGUAUCCGCUUAACUGCAGUGAAAGCUUCCGAUGCCCCUGUCUUGCGGGAAGAGAUCGCAGUCUUACUGGCGAAGGACGCGAUAGAGCCGGUCCCUCCAGCCGAUAUGAGGACGGGGUUUUACAGCCCCUACUUCAUUGUACCCAAGAAAGGCGGUGGGUUACGGCCGAUCUUGGAUCUGCGAGUUUUGAAGUCAGAAGGUUCUGAGGUCACUUCGUGCCGUUCACAUUCCAGGCCUGCUCAAUCGUACAGCCGACGAGCUGUCUCGAGCAAUGCUCCCGGGAGAAUGGCGACUCCAUCCCCUGACGGUCCAGCUGAUUUGGAGAUGGUUCGGAGCCGCUCAGGUAGACUUGUUUGCUUCUCCAGAGACCUCUCACUGCCAGUUAUUCUACUCCCUGACCGAGGGUACUCUCGGCUCGGACGCACUGGCACACAGCUGGCCGUGGGACCUACGCAAGUAUGCGUUUCCCCCAGUGAGCCUUCUCGCACAGACACUGUGCAAAGUCCGGGAGGACGGAUUUACUGA